AAUGACUGGUUUCACGUGUCCAUCCAUGUCUGAAUCAGCUGUUACUGUCCUUGUUGCAGUUUCUGUCCAUGGUGGUCUGAUAUCUCAAAGCUGAUCAAGUUCCUGGUGGGUCUCCUGUCUCAAGCAGUAGAGUGGGAGGAGCAGUCAGGAGAGAAGACACUGAAGCUGGUAUCAUCAGUGUGUACUUACAGAACCUUCCCUUUCUGUGACGGGGAUGAUGAGGAUGAGUGGUUUCAAUGUGAUCUCCUGCUGGAUCUGUACUCACAUGUGGAGGACUAUGAGACUAAAACAGGCAGGAGUGUCCUUCCAUCAUUGAGACCACUUUAUCAGUCAGCUCCUGCAGUCUGGUCCAUAGACCUCUCAGAGAGAAAGGCCUCCCUCCUCCUAGAAGUGCUGAAACUCCAACCAGAGAAGAAACCAGUACAGCUGAAAGGCUGGUCAGAUGAAGAGAGUGAAGUGAGGAGUUUCCUUCAGUGUCUGCCUUACAUCUCACAGCUGAGUUUUACUCCACCACAGUAUCAGAGAAGAUCCCCUGAAGAGUGGAGAAAGAGAGAGAAGACAUUCCUACUGAAUCUGUGUCUUCAAGCAGCCCUCCAUGAGAGAGAAACCAUACAAACAACUGUAGGGAAAGUGUUGUCACUGUCUGAAGUUUAUCAGGGUCGGAAAUGGGAUCUCCUGCUGGAUCUGUACUCUCACGUGAAGGACUAUGAGACUAAAACAGGCAGGAGUGUCCUUCCAGCAUUACAGCCAGUUUACCAGUCAGCUCCUGCAGUCUGGUCCAUAGACCUCUCAGAGAGAAAGGCUUCCCUCCUCCUUGAAGUGCUGAAACUCCAACCAGAGAAGAAAUCAGUAGAGCUGUGGGACUGGUCAGAUGAAGAGAGUGAAGUGAGGAGUUUCCUUCAGUGUCUGCCCUACAUCUCACAGCUGAGUUUCUGUCCAUGGUGGUCUGAUAUCUCAAAGCUGAUCAAGUUCCUGGUGGGUCUCCUGUCUCAAGCAGUAGAGUGGGAGGAGCAGUCAGGAGAGAAGACACUGAAGCUGGUAUCAUCAGUGUGUACUUACAGAACCUUCCCUUUCUGUGACGGGGAUGAUGAGGAUGAGUGGUUUCAAUGUGAUCUCCUGCUGGAUCUGUACUCACAUGUGGAGGACUAUGAGACUAAAACAGGCAGGAGUGUCCUUCCAUCAUUGAGACCACUUUAUCAGUCAGCUCCUGCAGUCUGGUCCAUAGACCUCUCAGAGAGAAAGGCCUCCCUCCUCCUAGAAGUGCUGAAACUCCAACCAGAGAAGAAACCAGUACAGCUGAAAGGCUGGUCAGAUGAAGAGAGUGAAGUGAGGAGUUUCCUUCAGUGUCUGCCUUACAUCUCACAGCUGAGUUUUACUCCACCACAGUAUCAGAGAAGAUCCCCUGAAGAGUGGAGAAAGAGAGAGAAGACAUUCCUACUGAAUCUGUGUCUUCAAGCAGCCCUCCAUGAGAGAGAAACCAUACAAACAACUGUAGGGAAAGUGUUGUCACUGUCUGAAGUUUAUCAGGGUCGGAAAUGGGAUCUCCUGCUGGAUCUGUACUCUCACGUGAAGGACUAUGAGACUAAAACAGGCAGGAGUGUCCUUCCAGCAUUACAGCCACUUUACCAGCCAGCUCCUGCAGUCUGGUUCAUAGAUCUCAGAAAGAGAAACGUCUCCCUCCUCCUAGAAGUGCUGAAACUCCAACCAGAGAAGAAAUCAGUAGAGCUGUGGGACUGGUCAGAUGAAGAGAGUGAAGUGAGGAGUUUCCUUCAGUGUCUGCCCUACAUCUCACAGCUGAGUUUCUGUCCAUGGUGGUCUGAUCCCUCAAAGCUGAUCAAGUUCCUGGUGGGUCUCCUGUCUCAAGCAGCAGAGUGGGAGGAGCAGUCAGGAGAGAAGACACUGAAGCUGGUGUCAUCAGUGUGUACUUACAGAACCUUCCCUUUCUGUGACGAGGUUUAUUUUGAUGAGUCGUUUCAAUGGGAUCUCCUGCUGGAUCUGUAUUCACAUGUGAAGGACUAUGAGACUCAAACAGGCAGGAGUGUCCUUCCAGCAUUACAGCCAGUUUACCAGCCAGCUCCUGCAGUCUGGUUCAUAGAUCUCUCAGAGAGAAAGGUCUCCCUCCUCCUAGAAGUGCUGAAACUCCAACCAGAGAAGAAAUCAGUAGAGCUGAAAGGCUGGUCAGAUGAAGAGAGUGAAGUGAGGAGUUUCCUUCAGUGUCUGCCCUACAUCUCACAGCUGAGGUUUGCUCCACCACAGGAUCAGAUAGGAUCCCCUGAAGAGUGGAGAAAGAGAGAGAAGACAUUCCUACUGAAUCUGUGUCUUCAAGCAGCCCUCCAUGAGAGAGAAACCAUACAAACAACUGUAGAGAAAGUGUUGUCACUGUCUGAAGUUUAUCAGGGUCGGAAAUGGGAUCUCCUACUGGAUCUGUACUCUCAUGUGAAGGACUAUGAGACUCAAACAGGCAGGAGUGUCCUUCCAGCAUUACAGACAGUUUACCAGUCAGCUCCUGCAGUCUGGUCCAUAGACCUCAGAGAGAGAAAGGUCUCCCUCCUCCUAGAAGUGCUGAAACUCCAACCAGAGAAGAAAUCAGUAGAGCUGAAAGGCUGGUCAGAUGAAGAGAGUGAAGUGAGGUGUUUCCUUCAGUGUCUGCCCUACAUCUCACAGCUGAGUUUCUGUCCAUGGUGGUCUGAUAUCUCAAAGCUGAUCAAGUUCCUGGUGGGUCUCCUGUCUCAAGCAGCAGAGUGGGAGGAGCAGUCAGGAGAGAAGACACUGAAGCUGGUGUCAUCAGUGUGUAUUUACAGAACCUUCCCUUUCUGUGACGGGGAUGAUUUUGAUGAGUCGUUUCAAUGUGAUUUCCUGCUGGAUCUGUAUUCACAUGUGAAGGACUAUGAGACUCAAACAGGCAGGAGUGUCCUUCCAACAUUACAGACAGUUUACCAGUCAGCUCCUGCAGUCUGGUCCAUAGACCUCUCAGAGAGAAAGGCCUCCCUCCUCCUAGAAGUGCUGAAACUCCAACCAGAGAAGAAACCAGUAGAGCUGAAAGGCUGGUCAGAUGAAGAGAGUGAAGUGAGGAGUUUCCUUCAGUGUCUGCCCUACAUCUCACAGCUGAGCUGUGAUUCUGACAGGUUCUUCCAGCGUGUGUGUGAAUCCAUCCCUGUGAGGUCCAGAGAGGAUGCCCAGCAGUUGGCCUCUCUCCUCCAGGCCUUGGGCUCCACCCUGUCACUGGGAGGACAGUUACCCAGGAAAACCUGCAGGUCUGUGGUGAGAGUGCUUGGCCUCUGUGCCUCCAGAGUGGACCUCACUCUCACCCCCAGCAAGAUCUCUCUGAAAGGAGCCUCACUUCUCUUCACACAUGUAUCACAGCUACACAAGCUCAGGCUGAAUGUGGGCAUGGCAGUGAGACUGGCCAGACUGGCUAGGAGGACAGGGAGAGGGGGUUCUCCACUGACUGUCCCAGAGCUCUCCCUGGUCCUAAAGAGCAGCCAGCCACCAGAGAAAGUGUUAUCCAGGGCUCUGAGUAGUGUGGCGUCCCUGCUGAGACUCUGGACGGUGCAGUGUCUGGACCUGACUGACUUCUGCAUCCAGGGUCACUCUCUCAUCACACUACUUUGUCACCAAGGCCCUCUCACUCUCAGACUGCACUCAGACACCCUGCAGCAGCUGGCUGUAGUUGUGUAUGAAGCUCAGGACAAGGACUUGACUCGGUGGUUCCUGGAGAAGGUUGGUGGAGACCUGACCUCCUGUAGGCUGGACUGGGAGGUGCUUCUCUCUCUGCUGCAGCAUUCAACCCACAACAUCACAGUGGACCUCAGGAAGAACAGGCUUCUAGAGAAGAACAUCUCAGAUCUUUUCCCCUUUCUGGGAAGGGUUAUAUUCAAGAGGCUCAGUUCCAGCUUUGUGAAGUCCACCAUCAGACAGAUCUAUGACAGUAGAGCCAGUGACUGUGUGUCCAGUUUGUUGAGGUCUUCAGACCAUUGGAUCAACCUGAACAGCAGAGAGCUGGACAGAGUGGACUGUACUGCGCUGUGUUUCACCCUGCAGCACAGCCACCAAGUCAAAGUCAACCUGCUGUGGACCUCCAUACCACCGGGGGAGAUAGAGAGCAUCCUGCCUCUUCUGGACAGAGUCUCCCAACUCAGUGUUGACAGGAUGCUGUUGCUGAGUUUCCUCCACUCCUGCGCUGCCUCUCAGAUCCUGCAGGGGGCACUAUCACCACCUUCAGCAAUAACAACAGCAGCAGCAGAGCUGCUCAGGGCUCUGCAGCACAGGUUGGACUUCUCCUGCUCCUCCUCUGUGGACCUGUCGGCUCACGACCAGGGGGAGGCGCUGUGUCUGACCACUGACCACUGUAGGGCCAUAAACUCUGUUCUGAAGCAGAGCCAGCACAGCACACAGCUGGUUCAGAACCCGACCCAGAACCAGUCCCGAAACCAGCCCCAGGUGCAGCUCAUCCUUAAAGACUGUGAGGUGGAGCACGGAGCACUGAGAGAGCUGCUUCCCAUCCUGCAUAUUGUCAAGCUGAGCCCCAGCAAAGCUCUGCUACUUCAGCUGGUGGACCAUGUGUGUGAGGGGAUUGAAGAGGGAGUGCUGAGGAACGCAGUAUCCCUGUGCAGAGCCCUGGAUGGGGAGCUGGACCUCAGUGAGACCAGGCUGAACCAAAAGGCCUGUGGAUCUCUGGCCCUGGUUCUGGAACACUCAGAGGGGCUGUCAGAACUGGACCUCAGCCACUGCCAACUCACAGACCGCCAUCUACAGCCCCUGCUCACACACCUGCACAAAGUUGAAGUCCUUGACCUGAGUCACAAUGACAUCACUGAUGCUCUGACCGACAGAAUUCUCCAACUGGUCUCCACCAACACUUCAAUCCGCACCGUACGGCUCUUCAGCAACAGAAUCAAGGACAGAAGUCCGUUCCUGACAGACAAGAGGUUUGACAUCUGGUGA
rnacentral:lncRNA from 1 species